UUACACCUCAUCGAUCAGAAGGAAUCCCUUUUGAUCAAUGAGGACCGGAAGGGAUUCCUUCCAAUUGAUGAGGUGUAA
rnacentral:miRNA from 1 species